rnacentral:lncRNA from 1 species
CCUCCACCUCUUUCCUGAUCCCGAACGCACCCCCGGACUCUAUCGCCUCCCCAGAGUACACCGCUUCCACCGUAAACGCACCCCCGCAUCCCGCGUUCGUCGUCCGUCGCUAGAGCUGCGCCGUCGCCGUCGCCAUCGCCAACACACGCUGGCCCAAUCUUCAUCGCCACAACCCCGCGCCCGCGACGUCACAUAUUCGGUGAGGUAAUGCUACCCUUACGAUUCCUGAUCCUGCCUUAAUUUGAAGUUCCAUGGACGCGAAACCCUUAUCUUCUCCGAUCUGGCCUGUUCUCUGACUUUUGCAGGGACUUUCACUUUGCUGGAAGCCAACGCCCGCACUACUCCUCCCUCUCCUCGUGCACAACGUGCCGGCGUCACUCGUCAGAGCCACGCCACCAGGUUAGUUUCCUUCAUCUUGUCGGACGAUUUACAGUACCAGAGUUUGAUUAGAUCCUGUUUGGUCGAACCAGAUACAUAUAAAAGGCUGAAAAAGGAAAAUGAGGGGAAUAAAGGUGAUAAUAUGAGUCGAUGCCGAAGCAUAGGUUGCAACUUACAAAUAUUCGUGCUCAACAACAACAACAAAGGUUCCAUUCUCCUAAAAGUUAAUUUGAUGUAACUUUCGCUAACUGUUGUUUGUAGUGUUUUUCCCUUACAUCUUAGAUAUAGGAAAACCUCAAUUUUCUACUUUACAAAAAAAGAUUUAAAGAUAAACUACUUUAGAUUGCAUAAUGUAUAAGAUGCAUCUGGAAUUGUAAUGCAAAGAUGUGAUGACCAAAAUGAACAUGCAAAGGUUGUCGAGCCUUCCUGAAAACAUGACUAUUUCAUGUCACCUGCUAUGUUAUUUAUUUCUUAUGUUAUGCGAGAACAUAUGAUUCUGUUGAACAUUAGUCUGUAUAACACCAAAAAGGAAUAUACCUGCAAUUACAGAUGGUGCUUCGUAUUCUUCGAGGACUCCUUUGAGCCAUUUUCUCCCACUAAUUUCUGCAUUUCAUUCUGCAAAAGAAAUGAUAAUACGAGUGAGAGCUUACCUUUAGCAUCAAACGAUAUACUCUUCAAUGUAUCUAUUACAGGUCAAACAUUGAGGAUUACUGACAUAUAUUACACAAAAGUCUGUUUUCUCAAGAAACAAACUACAUAACCAAGCAUUCAUCCUCACUUCUAAAUUAAAUGAGAUGACACAGUGCCUUCCUAUGAACUAAUCCAAUAGCCCAGCACUGAUGUUGGUAACUAAUCCAAUAGCCCCGCUCGCCGCCCGCGCCGCUCGCCCCCAGCUGCCCGCCCCGCGCCGCCGCCGCGCGCCGUCCGCGCCGCCCCGCCCCGCUCGCCGCCCGCGCCGCCCCGCCCUGCUCGCCGCCCGCGCCGCCACCCCGCGCCGCCCGACGCCGCCCCGACCCGACACCGCCCCGGCCGCCCGACGCCGCCCCCGGCCGCCCACGGUCGGCCCCCGACCCCCGACCGGCCCCCGGCUAGCCUUCGGCCGUCCCGGAUCGAUCCCGACCCCCGACCGGCCCCGACGCACCGCCCCCGGUCCCAGCACUAGGUGAAUUGAUGCAAUAUUAUCAUGCUUGUUGUAGAGUCGGCCAUCGUGCCGUUGUGAUGUUGUAGAUGUGAUUGUCGGCCAUUGAGCCGUUUUAUUUGAUGCAGGUGUAGGAAACCUCCCUGUGCAGGGGAGGUGCUGUCGAAAUUUUAACUUGACAGGAGUUUUUUUUUUCAGGAGAGCGUACGUUACCGUCCUCCAGUCGUCACUUUGCAGGAUAGCAAGGUGAGGCAUCCUACACCUUUCUUUCCGUAUAAUGUUCGUAUAUCACGUAACCUAGUUAGGCGUCUCCCGUUCGAAAUAGAUACGGUUGGAAAUAUGCAGAUUUUUGCAUAUCUAUAACCGUAUUUGUUUCGAAUUGUCCACGUUUUUUGGACAGCCCGAGGAUGUGUAGGUGGGUUUAGUAUCCAUGAUCUAUUUCGGUCCGAGAUAGAGUUUCGGUAGCACCUCCCUGUUGUUCUCCAGAUACACAAUCUCCUAUCAAGGACGUGUAUUUGGAGAACAGCGGGGAGGUGCUGCCGAAAUUUUAUCUCGGGUCGGAGUAGACCAUGGAUACUAAACCCACCUACACAUCCUCGGGUGGGAUUAGGACCUAUCUUUACCUAGUAGAUAAUAUAGGAACGUGUAUAUGCAAUGUGAAUUUAGUAUUACUCACUUAAAUGGUAGAGGAUGGAGGAUCGUCAGUGGAUGUACACGGGUCGCACUAGUCAGAAUACGUUGACCAAUGAAUGGCUUGACAAGACGGAUGCUUUCUUGGAAUGGGCGUUUGCAAGUGUUAAUGGAGCUCGAUCGACUUGGUGUCCGUGUAGCAAAUGUGGAAACAUGCGUCGGCAAACCAAGCUAGACAUGGGCAAACAUCUGGUGAAGAACGGAUUUACGUCAGACUACACCAGGUGGAUCUACCAUGGUGAAUCUGACCGUGGGAGAGAGGAGGUCUUGAGACAACGCAUCGAGGAAUUUGAUGAUGAUGCCGGGGUGGGAGACAUGUUAAAUGACUAUCAUGAAGCACACUUCGAUGAAGCACGUAGGGAGGAGGAGCCAGAGGCUACCGCUAAGGCUUAUUACGAAAUGUUAUUUGCGGCACAGCAACCCCUCCACGGCCAUACCAAGGUUUCUCAACUAGAUGCCAUUGCACGCCUAAUGGCUGUGAAGUCCCAGUUUAGUUUGAGUCGAGACGCGUUUGAUAUUAUGUUGACAGUUUUUGGAAGCCUGCUCCCGGUUGGUCACAUCUUGCCAAAGAGCAUUUAUGAGGCACAGAAACUCCUUCGUGCACUUAAGAUGCCAUACGAGCAUAUACAUGCUUGCCCGAAGGGAUGCAUCUUAUUUAGGAAAGAGUAUGCGGAAGCAAAAUACUGUGUGAAGUGCGAAUCGUCUAGGUUUCUGGAGGUAGAUUGUGGUGACGGUCAGAAAAAGCAGCUCGCAAUUCCUGUGAAGGUUCUACGGUAUCUUCCUUUCAUACCGAGGAUCUAAUGGCUUUUCAUGACUGAAGAAUCCGCGAAACAGAUGACAUGGCACAAAAAUGGCCGUCACUAUAAUCCUGAGAAGCUGGUACACCCAUCCGAUGCUGAAGCCUGGAAAAGCUUUGAUGCGAUUUAUCCUGCAAAAGUUCUAGAGGCCCGUAACGUACGCGUUGCGUUGGCAACUGAUGGGUUCAAUCCUUAUGGAAUGGCGGCCGCCCCGUACACCUGUUGGCCCAUUUUCGUUAUCCCCCUGAAUCUCCCUCCCGGCGUCCUAUUUCAACGACAUAAUAUAUUCUUGUCGUUGAUAAUUCUAGAGCAUCCGGGGAAUAAUAUGAGUGUGUACAUGGAGCCUCUGAUUGAUGAUUUGCUCCGUGCUUGGGAGGAAGGGGUAUGGACAUAUGACCGAUCCACAAAGACAAACUUCAAGAUGCAUGUUUGGUACCAGUACUCACUGCAUGACUUGCUGGCAUAUGGGAUUUUCUCCGGAUGGUGUGUUCACGGGAAGUUCCCAUGCCCAGUUUGUAAAGCAUCUUUGAAGUUUAUUUGGUUGUCGAAAGGUGGCAAAUAUUCUUCGUUCGACAAACAUCGACAAUUCCUCCCUCCUGACCAUCCAUUUAGACGAGACAUCAAGAACUUUACCAAAGAUGUUGUAGUUACAGCCCCCGCACCGCCGAUGAUGACAGGGGCCGCAGUUCGUGCUCAGUUAGACGCUCUCGAGGUCAAUAAUGAAGAAGGUGGUUUUCUGGGUUAUGGCGAGCAACAUGCUUGGACGCAGAAGUCGUGCUUGUGGAAGCUUCCCUAUUUUGAUGAUCUCCUUGUUCCACAUAACAUUGAUGUAAUGCACACGGAAAAAAAUAUCGCCGAGGCAAUUUUUGGUACAAUAAUGGACAUUCCUGACAAGACAAAGGAUAACGUUAAGGCUAGAGUGGAUCAAGCGACAUUGUGCAACAGACCACAGCUAAACAUGGCGCCUCCAAGAGCUGGCAAGUCGUGGAGGAAGCCUAAGGCUGAUUUCGUUCUGACGAGGGCCCAAAGGAGGGAGGUUCUAGAAUGGUUCCAAACGUUAAUGUUUCCUGAUGGCUAUGCAGCGAACUUGAAGAGGGAAGUGAAUUUAGCAACUAUGCGAAUCAACGGGCGCAAGAGUCAUGAUUACCAUAUAUGGCUUGAGCGCCUACUUCCGGUGAUGGUUCGAGGCUAUGUCCCUGAGCAUGUGUGGCAGGUGCUAGCGGAGUUGAGCAAUUUCUUCCGCCGGCUUUGUACGAAGGAGUUAUCUCGUACCGUGGUUGCAGAAAUGGAAACAAUGGCGCCUGUGUUGCUCUGUAAGUUGGAGAAGAUCUUUCCUCCAGGCUUCUUCAAUCCAAUGCAGCAUAUGAUUCUACACCUUCCGUAUGAAGCAUGAAUGGGGGGGCCUGUGCAGGGUCGUUGGUGCUACUCAAUUGAGAGAUGUCAAAAGGUUCUUCGAACUAAAUGUAAGAAUAAGUGCAAAAUUGAAGCAUCCAUUGCAGAGGCAUACAUUCUGGAGGAGGUGUCAAACUUCACAUCGAAAUACUACGCUGACAACCUUCCUAGCGUGCAUAAUCCACCUUCUCGUUACAAUGCCAACGAAGAUGAAUUAAGCCUUAGCAUUUUCCGAGGGCAACUCGGAAGUGCAAGUGGUGCGACCCGCAAGACCCUAAACCAUGAAGAGUGGCGCUCUAUCAUGCUGUAUGUGUUGACCAACCUAUCUGAAGUGGAGCCGUACAUGAUGUAAGUUCUCACAAACUUGUUUCGAUGUAGUCAUGGUAUCUCUUGCCUAAACGUAUCUUUCUCGUUGCUAUAGGCAAUUUCAUCAUCAAUUCUGGCGUAAAUCAAGGCAACCGUACCCGCACGAAGCUGAGACUCUUCUUAAAGAGGGUGCGGGAAAUGGAAUGCCCGAUUUCAUUUCUUGGUUCAAACAGAAGGUACAAUUUCAUUUCUUCGAACAUUCUCGUUCUCGUACAUACGAUUAAUAUAACGAACCGCCCUGUUUGAACUUGCAGGGCCGAACCGAUGCGUCUAUGAAUGUCGAGUUGAGACAGGUUGCCGAUGGCUGUGACUAUAGGGUCAGGUCGUUUGCCGGUUAUGAUGUCAACGGAUAUAGGUUUCACACAACAAGACACGAGCAGAGUCGGCCCAAUCGAAGAACCACAGAUACCGGAGUUUUCACGCCAGGCUCCGAUGGGAUCGAGUACUACGGAAGAAUUGAAGAAAUAUACGAACUCACUUUUCAUGGGUGCAAACCUCUUAAUCCAGUUAUAUUCAAGUGUCAUUGGUUUGAUCCAUCUGUCGUGAGACGGGCCCCUAACCUUGGGCUAGUCGAAAUUCGACAGUCAUCCAGGUUACCAGGAGACGAUGUCUAUAUUGUGGCUCAACAGGCCACGCAAGUUUAUUAUUUGUCAUACCCGUGCCAAACCGACAGCCGUCUUAAGGGUUGGGAUGUUGUGUACAAGGUAUCGCCACACGGUAAACUACCUGUACCAAACAAUGAAGAUUACAAUAUAGACCCUGACACGUACGAAGGAGAGUUAUUCCAAGAAGAUGGGGUCGAAGGGAGUUUUGUGAUAGAUUUAACCGAAGCGAUCGGAAUGGAAGUAGACAACGAGAGGGUUGCUGCAGAGGAUGGUGGAGACAAGGUUCAGAAUCUGAAGGACUUAGAACUACUUCAACGAUUACAGUUAGCUAAUGACAGUGAUGACGGCAUUCCUUCUUCGGAGCAUGAGCUUGACUAUAUCGACACGCGUGAUAGUGAUGAUGAGACUUAUGAUCCAGCUAAUCCGGAUCAUGAUGAUUAUUUCUAAUACGUGUAUGAUUCAUACUAAUUUAGUUAUAAUUUAAUUAUAAUUUGCAUAUCUUUGUAAUUAUGUUUUGUUUGCCUAUGCUGACUCGUGUACUCUUUUUAAUUGCAGGUCAUUGAGCAAUGGUGGGCGGUAUGAGGAAGCUCACGUCGAUUUGCGAGAGACUGGCCGCGUCAGGGACUGGUUCAGGGUCAGGGUCACGUUCAGGGAGCGGUCGAGGGAGGCGUCGAGGCAGGCCUCGACGUAGGGUUGAGGAGGAGGAGGAGGAGGAGGUGGUGGUCCAGAGGCCUCGAGGGAAGGGUAAAGCGGCGAGGCCCCUGUCGCCUGAAC